CCCGCGCAGUGUGACCAACUUUCAUCGUGCGGUUUAUUAAGAUCAUCACUAGAAUACAAUUACAUUUCGUGGUUCAGUUAUCACACGAUUAUCACUGCUGGCUUUAUUUUCAUCUCGUUGUUUCAUACGCAUUAUCUCUCCAUACAUGUCAUGUCUGUUUAUGAUCAGUGUACGGCAAGGUAAAGUGAUAAGUUGUCGACUUGUAGGGGAACGCCACGGUGGCGUCGUUCCACAUAUAAAGGGAGCAUCGGGUGUGUAGAGAGAGACAUACUUUGGACUACGACGAACUUUAGAGAAGAGAGUGUGCAGAAGAUCAGGAAAAUGGACAAAGCUGCUCGGGAUAAUCGCGCCAACCAGUUAAAUCCAAAUCAUUACAAGACCGGCCCAGGUCGCCCUUCUGGUUACUUUGGUUAUGGGUCUCAGAGUGAUCGUGACAAUCAUGCUAAUCAGUUAAAUCCAAACAAUUGGCGCUACCAGGGAAAUAGACCAGCUGACAGUGGCAGUUCAGGCUGGUGUGCUAUACUGUGAUGAUUAUCCACUGUGUUGCCAAAUAGUGCAACAAAAUGAAUAUCAAUUAUUCAACAAAUUGUCAUGUGUAAGCAAAUUUGGCUGAACUAUAUUAAAUUCUAAUUUCCUUUUGACAAAUAAAACUUAUUGAGCAUUGUAA